rnacentral:lncRNA from 1 species
UUUGGGACAAUAAUAUUCUAUAAACCAUGUAACAGUAGUUUUCUAGGCAUAUUUCCUAUAGGAAUCUUUAUCCAGGGCAAAGGCAUUUGGGCUGCACCAAAGUCCCAGAUGCCUUGUUAUAAGGUAGCUCUCAAACAGUAGCUCAUCAGAUCCCAUCUGCCAGCUCUAAUCAGUGGGGAAUAUCAGAUUCUUUUUUUAAGCUUUGAGGGGAUCUGGGAUAUGGCUUGUUUCUUUCAUUUUUGGGGGGUUUCACUUUGUUAGAUAUACAUAAGAUUUUUAAAAAUGUUUUCAGUCAAAUUGAUUUCCUUCUUCCUUACAGUGUAAGGCAAACAUUGGUGGGCACCGAUCUUCCUGUUCAUUCUGCAAGAACCCAAGAGAAGUGACAGAGGCCAAGCAAGAAUUAAUAACCUACCCUCAGCCUCAGAAAACAUCCAUACCAGCACCAUUGGAAAAACAGCCCAACCAGCCCCUAAGACCAGCUGAUAAGGAACCUGAACCCA